rnacentral:rRNA from 1 species
CGGAAAGGCCUGCAGCUUGCUGCGGGUACUCGAGUGGCGAACGGGUGAGUAACACGUGGGUGAUCUGCCUUGCACUUCGGGAUAAGCUUGGGAAACUGGGUCUAAUACCGGAUAGGACAGCUGUUUAGUGUCAGUUGUGGAAAGUUUUUUCGGUGCAAGAUGAGCUCGCGGCCUAUCAGCUUGUUGGUGGGGUAAUGGCCUACCAAGGCGUCGACGGGUAGCCGGCCUGAGAGGGUGUACGGCCACAUUGGGACUGAGAUACGGCCCAGACUCCUACGGGAGGCAGCAGUGGGGAAUAUUGCACAAUGGGCGGAAGCCUGAUGCAGCGACGCCGCGUGGGGGAUGAAGGCCUUCGGGUUGUAAACUCCUUCCGACAGGGACGAAGCGUAAGUGACGGUACCUGUAUAAGAAGCACCGGCUAACUACGUGCCAGCAGCCGCGGUAAUACGUAGGGUGCGAGCGUUGUCCGGAAUUACUGGGCGUAAAGAGCUCGUAGGUGGUUUGACGCGUCGUCUGUGAAAUUCCGGGGCUUAACUCCGGGCGUGCAGGCGAUACGGGCUGACUUGAGUGCUGUAGGGGAGACUGGAAUUCCUGGUGUAGCGGUGAAAUGCGGCAGAUAUCAGGAGGAACACCGAUGGCGAAGGCAGGUCUCUGGGCAGUAACUGACGCUGAGGAGCGAAAGCAUGGGUAGCGAACAGGAUUAGAUACCCUGGUAGUCCAUGCCGUAAACGGUGGGCGCUAGGUGUAGGGGGCUUCCACGUCUUCUGUGCCGUAGCUAACGCAUUAAGCGCCCCGCCUGGGGAGUACGCCGCAAGGCUA